rnacentral:tRNA from 1 species
GGCGGAGUAGCUCAGGUGGUUAGAGCAGCGGAAUCAUAAUCCGCGUGUCGGGGGUUCAAGUCCCUCCUCCGCUC